rfam:Candidatus Nanosalinarum sp. J07AB56 genomic scaffold scf_7180000039101, whole genome shotgun sequence.
GCGGAGCUGGUGUAGGCUGGCCCAUCAUACUGCCCUGUCACGGCAGUGACCCGGGUUCGAAUCCCGGGCUCCGCG